UACGUAGGGUGCGAGCGUUAAUCGGAAUUACUGGGCGUAAAGCGUGCGCAGGCGGUGGCUCAAGCCAGGCGUGAAAUCCCCGGGCUUAACCUGGGAACUGCAUUUGUGACUGCAUGGCUGGAGUGCGGCAGAGGGGGAUGGAAUUCCGCGUGUAGCAGUGAAAUGCGUAGAUAUGCGGAGGAACACCGAUGGCGAAGGCAAUCCCCUGGGCCUGCACUGACGCUC
rnacentral:rRNA from 1 species